CUCUUUCCCUACACCACGCUCUUCUGAUCUAGCCAGCCACGGUUUACAGACGACGACCCCGGCAACCACCCUUUCUGCGAGUGCUGUCAGAGGGGAUGGGGGUGACAUCCUCAAUGCACCCAAUCUUCAUUCCAGAACGAGCUAGAGAUCUGAGGGCUGACUGGGCACCAGGUCCAGGAGUCUUGGUCCUAUUU